AUACAAGCCAUCUGAAAGACCCUUGAGAACUACCAGUGAAUUCUGGAGCACUCUUGAGGGAAAUUAGACAUGAAUGGUUUGCUUGUGGAACAGGUAACACCAGAAUUUCUAUUGCCUGAAAACAUACUCAAGUGAACUUGUUCUCAGUUUCCAUCAGUAGCUUUUUUCUUCUCUAUUUUCUCCAGCAGAGUAAAAGGAUUCCCAGGAACCAUGAGAUUGGGUAUUAAAUCUCCG
rnacentral:lncRNA from 1 species